rnacentral:rRNA from 1 species
GACGAACGCUGGCGGCGUGCCUAAUACAUGCAAGUAGAACGCUGAAGGAGGAGCUUGCUCUUCUGGAUGAGUUGCGAACGCGUGAGUAACGCGUAGGUAACCUGCCUGGUAGCGGGGGAUAACUAUUGGAAACGAUAGCUAAUACCGCAUAACAGUAGAUGUUGCAUGACAUUUGCUUAAAAGGUGCAAUUGCACCACUACCAGAUGGACCUGCGUUGUAUUAGCUAGUUGGUGGGGUAACGGCUCACCAAGGCGACGAUACAUAGCCGACCUGAGAGGGUGAUCGGCCACACUGGGACUGAGACACGGCCCAGACUCCUACGGGAGGCAGCAGUAGGGAAUCUUCGGCAAUGGACGGAAGUCUGACCGAGCAACGCCGCGUGAGUGAAGAAGGGUUUCGGAUCGUAAAGCUCUGUUGUAAGAGAAGAGCGAGUGUGAGAGUGGAAAGUUCACACUGUGACGGUAGCUUACCAGAAAGGGACGGCUAACUACGUG